UUCGCCCUUAGAGUUUGAUCCUGGCUCAAGACGAACGCUGGCGGCGUGCCUAACACAUGCAAGUCGAACGGAACUUCUUUAAAGGAUUUCUUCGGAAUGAAUUUGAUUAAGUUUAGUGGCGGACGGGUGAGUAACGCGUGAGUAACCUGCCUCUGAGAGGGGAAUAACAUUCUGAAAAGAAUGCUAAUACCGCAUAAUAUAUAUUUAUCGCAUGGUAGAUAUAUCAAAGAUUUAUCGCUUAGAGAUGGACUCGCGUCCGAUUAGUUAGUUGGUGAGGUAACGGCUCACCAAGACCGCGAUCGGUAGCCGGACUGAGAGGUUGAACGGCCACAUUGGGACUGAGACACGGCCCAGACUCCUACGGGAGGCAGCAGUGGGGGAUAUUGCGCAAUGGGGGAAACCCUGACGCAGCAACGCCGCGUGAAGGAUGAAGGUCUUCGGAUUGUAAACUUCUUUUAUUAAGGACGAAGAAAGUGACGGUACUUAAUGAAUAAGCUCCGGCUAACUACGUGCCAGCAGCCGCGGUAAUACGUAGGGAGCAAGCGUUGUCCGGAUUUACUGGGUGUAAAGGGUGCGUAGGCGGCUUUGCAAGUCAGAUGUGAAAUCUAUGGGCUCAACCCAUAGCCUGCAUUUGAAACUGCAGAGCUUGAGUGAAGUAGAGGCAGGCGGAAUUCCCCGUGUAGCGGUGAAAUGCGUAGAGAUGGGGAGGAACACCAGUGGCGAAGGCGGCCUGCUGGGCUUUAACUGACGCUGAGGCACGAAAGCGUGGGUAGCAAACAGGAUUAGAUACCCUGGUAGUCCACGCUGUAAACG
rnacentral:rRNA from 1 species